GCGGGGGUAGCAAAGCCUGGUCAAAUGCGCAGGACUUAAGAUCCUGUCGGUUAGUCCGUCCGUGGGUUCAAAUCCCACCCCCCGCA
rnacentral:tRNA from 1 species